rnacentral:lncRNA from 1 species
AAUUAGUCAAUUUAUGUUUCAAUAAUUCUGCAUAGUAGUCUCCAAAAUCUCAGUAGCUUACAACACCAGCAUUUUUUUUUCCUUUUCUUUUUUUUUUUGUUUUUUGGUACACAGAUCUGUGGAGUGGCUGCAGCACCUGUGUUUCAGCCUGAAGAAUGGGCACAGUCCCUCUGUGGCAGACUGAAUGGAUGCUGCCAUACCAUCACACUGAAAAUGAG